UCAUUUCUCAAUAUAAAAACCACAAGGUCCAACUGUAAUAAACCCAUAGUUGAAGGUUCACACAUGAUCUAAACCAAAAAAACAAAAAUCAAUCAAUAAAUACACACCUGCAUCUUGACCGCUUUCUCCCCCUUUCAACUUCAUCCCGUCACUCCAGAUCUGCAUCUUAUAUAAAUGGAUGUUAGUUGGUGAUGUUCCAUGGAUGAUGUUUGUUGAAUCAUGUAAAAGAAUAAGAUUAAUGAAGAACUCGGAAGCGGUUAAUGGUUCAGAAUUGUUGGAGAAGUGUUAACAAGGCGAGAUUUUAGACGAUGGGCAUCGAAGAUUGGGAGUUGGAAACUUUUGGUGUAGUUGUUUAUAGAGGAAAAUUGUUUUGUAAUUUUUUACAUGAUUAGGGGAAUAGUUAAAAAUUAGCUAGGGAUAUUAUUAUAGUACAUAAAAUGCACAUGAAUGAUUUGCUUACACAUUGAGAAGGAUGUUGUAGUUCUAUCAUCUAUGUGGCAUUUCAUCGAACAAGUACCAAAUGAAAAUUAAACAUUGGUUAAAUAGUA